GGCAGUUCUACUCUGUUCUGUAGGUUCGCCAUGAGUUGGAAUUGACUUGAUGGCAAAGGGUUUGGGUUUUUUUUAAUUCCCAUGAAUGUGGUUAUGCUUUUGCUAUGUAUAUAUGCAUGUGUAAACAUUAUAUAGUAUUGUAAUCAUGUUUUAAAAUCUUAUUUAGAAAGUAUUACACUGUAUGUAUUCUCCUACAAUUUAUUCCUUUUGCUUAAUCUUUUUUUCUUUUUUAAUAUUUAUGUAGUUGAUAUAUGUGGUUCUGGUUCCUAGAUUUUUAACGAUUCUGUGGUUUUCAUUCUCUAUUCCAUGUAUUUUAACUAUUCUGCUGACUACAAGUCUUUUUAGCUGAAUAUUUUCAGGGGACGGUAAAGAGGAAUAACUUAUGUCACUAGGAAUGUUGUUUUGACUUUCAAAAAAGCCAGUUUCCUUUUUUGGUGUGGAAUGUCCUCGUUUAUCGUAUUCCUGGGAAAACCCUUUCUACUUCCCCAGAGAAGGCAGAGAAGAGUAAUGUUUCAUUACACAGAUGGAGGUUGUCUUGGGCAAAAUUCAGGACAGCAUCUGCUGUAAUACAGCAAGCUCAUGAAGAAUAGAGCUGUGCAGCAAAAGCUUGGUUUACUCUUCCAGAAUUCUCAUAUUUUACAAGUGCAAACAAGCUGUGGUUGGAAACUUGAUGACAUUAAUUUAUUGUUUCUUUGGAUAUGUAUUUUGGAAUAAUUUGCAAUUUGGGGACUAUCUGCUUUAUUUAGUAAAAGGAUAUGUGUCUUAUAUGGUAAAAAGACUGGUCCUGAAUUAGGUCGUGAUUUUAUGCAGCAAAGGAAAAAUAAAGUCUAGGUAUGGAGGGAGGGGUGGAGGGGGACUGCUUUUUGAGGUAGGCAGUUGAUGUGAAAUAAAUAUGUAUUUGUCAGUGUAUGUUCUUACUUUGUAGUCAUUCUUUUUAAAAGGAAAUCCCCAAUAAUUUUUUUUCUUCCCAAUUUCAUUCUUUUAUCUUUCCUUUGCAGCAUCCUUGAUAAUGGUUUGAGCGUUUUUGCAGAAUACACAGUGCUGAGCUUCAUUCAGGUUGUCCCGCCAAAUGAUCUGUUCUAGUGCAUUAACCAGAAAUGCUGAGGCAGCAAGGGAAACACUAAUAAAUGGGAUGCUUUCCAGGGACUUUAGCUCAAAGCAAGCGGAACCCAAGCCAAAAUUAAGAAGAAAAUGUUAGUUAGGUACCCAAGAUGUAGUCCAGCCAGAUAGGCUGUUAACAGUAAGUGUACUGUUUUAAUUAAAUUGAUUGGGACCUGGACAAUUUGAAUCACCAGACUGUCCAUUAAAAAGGUGGCCCAACUUUAAGCAUAUUAGAAUUAGGGGCUAGGGUAAGAAUAGUCUUUUGGCUAAAACUUAUUUAGAAUGAAAACUUCAAUUGUCUUUACUUUUUCUUCUUGGGUAGAUUCCAGCGCCUCAAGAUUGGUUAAACUUAGCUGCCUGUUUGUUUCUUUCAUUGUGGAUCUGAGUGAAAGACUGUUGAAUGGGCCUACCAGUAAAGAUUUUUUUUUUUUUUUUUGGUAGGAAUGAUUAGGAAGAAAGAGGAGAGACGGUAUUGCUAAUUAAACAUGUUUUUUAUUUUCUCACUAUUGCUGCUUUUCUUGCUAACGGUAAAGUUUGUUUUGUUUUCUUUUCCCCCCACAAAUUAUUUUACCCAUAAAUAGUGUAGGUGUGGGGAAAGGAAGCAGUGGUAUGUGAAAGGGAUCUUUUAUUGUUGUUCUUGUUUUUGAAUGAUCUCCUAUUCAGUUUGCCAAGAGUUGAGCAUUUUUCAAACAGGGCCCCUAGACCAGAGAGUUAGGUGGUUAGGUAAAUGAAUGGGAUUUUUUAGUGCACCAAAAUUUCUAAGUUUUGUAAACUUGUUUCUGAAACAUAUUCUGGAAGUUACUGAAUAAACCUGGAUACCCCAAGACUUCUGUUGUCAGGGUUACCUUAAAUUUCUUAGACUAUUUCUUCUUUCUUUAUUGUUUACUAGGGUUCUAUCUCCCCCUAUAUUGAAAGCAUGGAGAUGAAGUGAAUAAAUUGUUUUCCCUUCUUUAAAUGUAUUUUAAAAGUUUGUGAAUUGCUGCUUCAGAUCCCCCUUUUUUUACAUCUAUUUCAGGUUACCACGUGGUUAUAAAAGAUUCAAUACUUUCUUUCUCUGAAAAAAGAUGGUUAUAUUUCAGAGUUUCUCAUAAUCAACCUGGAUUUAUUUGAGGCUACAAAUCUGAAGUGCCUUCUUGUCUUAAGGGUCAUAUAAUCCUUAGCAUGACCUAAACAAAUCAAAAACAAACUCCAGACUUCUUUCCUUCUUUGGCAUUAUAUGAGGUACCCAUGUCAGCCGGCUCAGAAGGGCCUUAACCUUUGACAUUGACUUUACUUUUUUUAUUCUUUUAGGUCUUUCACUACUAUUCCUACAGUGGUUGGCAAGAUAUUGUUUCUACCUCACUCUCCAUGUACCAUGCCAGUGACAUCUUAGCUGCUAGAGUGUGGAGCUGGCCUGUGGGAGUCAAGUCACGUUGUAAAUUUUGCCUGUAUAAAUUAACACAUCCCCUGUUAUGUCAUAACAACCAUGUAAGGGAGAGUGUUUUCCUGCUCUGUCUUAGGUAUUGGUGAUAUGACCUGUUCACGCAAGGGAAACUUGAACAUUCUCAGGCUGUGGAGAGUGAAAUCAUGGAAGUCAUCAGUGUUGAAGAUCCUGAUACGCCAGUGGGGUUCCCUACAUUCCAGUGCUUAGAUUGCCUUUUAUUCAGGGAACACUGACCUUGAGAGGCUGAACAAGAAGGAAAAGGUAAAGAACUUUAAUUUAACUAACUGGCAGUGUCUCCAGUCCCCUGCAGGAAGGUUUUGCACACAUGAAAACAAUGCAACAGAAAACAUUAUUUCCUUUUUACAGUGUAGUAGUGUUGUGUUUAGAUUCUAGAUUAAAGUUCGUAGAAGAUACCAAAAAAAACCUGAACACUUUUUUCCUAAAGUAAACUUUGUUUUAAGACAUUGAUUUUUUUUAUGAUGCUAGAACCCUGAAAGUAGUCUUUUUUUUUUUUUUUUAAGACAUUGAUUAAGAGCAAUGUUCAGUGCCCUUAUUUAGGCUUUGUGUUAACCAUCUUCAAGGAAGAUGUUGCAGUGUUUGUGUGGAUGGCCAUGUAACUGCAUGAUCUGGCAGCCUUUUACAUUUUCAGGCGGUGAGUGUAUGACAUGUCAUGCCAUUUAAUUACCUCGGAUAUACAUCACUUUGGAGAGGCAGUGAUUUUUUCAGACUUUUAAAAGUUUAUAUACAAUAAAACUGACUUUCUCAUGUACAGUUUAUGAAUUUUAACACAUAUAUAGAUUUGUGUAACCACCUCCAUAAUCAGGACACAGAACAAUUUCCUUCAUCCCCACCCCCAGAUUCUCUUGUGCUGUCCAUUUAUACUCAAACGCUCUUCCUAUUUCUAACCCCUGGCAACCAUUGAUCUUUUCUCUGUUCCUAUACUUUUGCUUUUUGCAGAAUGUUGUAUACAGGCAGUCCCCGACUUAUGACGUAUUCUAGUUACAACGAACCACGUUUAUAACGGUCCUUUAUUUGGUACAUUUUAUCUUUAGUAAUAUGUACUACAUACAAUAUUGCAGCACAUAUCUGUAAGUUUAUAUGUAAUGUUUCCAACCCCUAAGGACAGGUAAAGAUCAGAUUUAUAAAGAUACUGAUAAUAAAAGGCAAUAAUAAUGAAAACUUAAAAAAAAAUGAGGUAUUCGACUUAUUUCAGAACUUACUUAUGACAGAGUCAUCAGAACAGAACCCUCUUGUAAGCCAGGGACCACCUGUAUAUGGAAUCAAAUAGUGUGUAAUGUCUGGAAACUGGCUCAUUUCACUCAGCAUGAUGUCUUUGAGAUUCAUCCAUGUUAUUGAGUCUAGCAAUAGUUUGCUCCUUUUUAUUUCUGAGUAGUGUUCCAUUAUAUGGAUGUACCACAGUUUAUGUCUUUCACCUAGUUUGUUAUGGUUUCCUCCAUUAUUUCUUCAAAAAAAUUUUUUUUUCCUAUACUACAUUUUCUCUGGGACUCUGGGACUCUGAUGACACCUUUUGGUAUUAUUGCACAGGGACCUAGGCUAUGCCAUCCUUUGAGAACAUUGUUAUUUAUCUCUCAGUGUCAUUCAUUCAACAAACAAUUUUGAACACUAUCCAUUCUCCUAUUGAUAAUUAUGUAGUUAUUUCUGUUUCUUGUUAUGAUGAAAAUGCUGCUGUGGACAAUCUUGUGCAAGCCUCCUUGGGUACAUGUGCCAGGCUUUCUCUAUGAUAUUUGUCUAGGAGCAGAAACACUAGAGUGUAUUAAAAAAAACAUGCAAAAAAAAACCAAAGCUGUUGCCGUCGAGUCGAUUCCGGCUCAUAGAUUCCUACAGGA